rnacentral:rRNA from 1 species
AUUGAACGCUGGCGGCAGGCUUAACACAUGCAAGUCGAGCGGGGUGAUGGUGCUUGCACUAUCACUUAGCGGCGGACGGGUGAGUAAUGCUUAGGAAUCUGCCUAUUAGUGGGGGACAACAUCUCGAAAGGGAUGCUAAUACCGCAUACGUCCUACGGGAGAAAGCAGGGGAUCACUUGUGACGUUGCGCUAAUAGAUGAGCCUAAGUCGGAUUAGCUAGUUGGUGGGGUAAAGGCCUACCAAGGCGACGAUCUGUAGCGGGUCUGAGGGGAUGAACCGCCACACUGGGACUGGGAAACGGCCCAGACUCCUACGGGAGGCAGCAGUGGGGAAUAUUGGACAAUGGGGGGAACCCUGAUCCAGCCAUGCCGCGUGUGUGAAGAAGGCCUUAUGGUUGUAAAGCACUUUAAGCGAGGAGGAGGCUCUUUUGGUUAAUACCCAAGAUGAGUGGACGUUACUCGCAGAAUAAGCACCGGCUAACUCUGUGCCAGCCGCCGCCGUAA